rnacentral:rRNA from 1 species
GACCCACGAACAGAAAAUAAUGUUGGAGGUGAAGAAAAUCGUGAUAACACUGAGGCUAGUAAUAUUGACGGCAAUUUGAAUACUUCACCUACUGCGGAUGUUGGUGAUUCUUUUCAUCUUGAUAUAUUUGAUCCAAGAAAUUGGGAUUCCCUUGAUUCUCAGCAAAUUGAUAUUUUAGCAGAAAAGGGCCCUCAAAGGGACACAUUAUUUAAGAAAGGUCGCAAGGAUAAAUAUAAAAGGAGGUUUUCUGCACUAUUCUACACUAGAAUUCUAUCAAAUGGAGAGCAUUGUGAUAGGGAUUGGCUUGUCUAUUCUGAGGAACUAGAUAAAGUAUUUUGCUUUGGUUGUAAAUUAUUUGCAAAAGGGCAUCGAAAAGGUAAUUUGGCAAAUGAAGGGUACAAUGAUUGGACACAUCUUGGCACUAGACUGAAAGAGCAUGAGACAAGUGCAGAUCAUGUUUUGAAUAUGACCACUUGGUAUGAGUUGCGUAGUAGAUUGCAAACGCAUCAAACUAUUGAUAAAGCCGCGCAGCGACAACUAGAGGGUGAAAAGGACCAUUUGAGAAAGGUUUUGUUCAGAAUUGUUUGCAUUGUAAAAUUUAUUUCCAAGCAUAAUCUCGCAUUUCGUGGUACCAAUAGCAAAUUGUACGAAGAUAGCAACGGAAAUUUCUUGGGUUUGGUUGAGAUGUUGGCUGAUUUUGACCCGGUUAUUCAGGAGCAUGUUCGUCGUAUUACAAAUGAUGAAACUCAUGCACAUUAUCUUGAUCAUAAGAUCCAGAAUGAGUUGAUACAUUUGCUUGCUUCUGCUAUUAAGUCUAAGAUUGUUAAGAAAAUAAAGAGUGCAAAAUAUUUCUCUGUCAUACUUGAUUGUACCCCUGAUGCAAGCCAUCAAGAGCAAAUGUCUAUAAUCAUAAGAUAUGUGGAUUCAUCUUCAAGUCAUGUUUGCGUAGAAGAAUCAUUUUUAGGAUUUUUAGAUGUAAAUGAUAUGACUGGGCAUGGGCUGUUUGAAGUGCUAGAGAAUGAACUAAAGCUUCUUGAUCUUGAUAUAGAUGAUGUUAGAGGACAAGGUUAUGAUAACGGUUCAAAUAUGAAAGGAACACAUCAUGGAGUCCAAAGGAGACUUUUGAAUGUAAAUCCUCGAGCUUUCUAUUCUGCUUGUGGUUGUCAUAGCCUUAAUUUGACACUUUGUGAUAUGGCCAAGACUUGUGCUAAAGCUAAAGACUUCUUCGGAAUUAUCCAACGCAUAUAUACUAUAUUUGCUAAUUCUACUAAGAAGUGGCAUAUUCUGAAGGAGAACAUCACUGGAUUAACUCCCAAGUCAGUGUCAGCUACACGUUGGGAGAGUCGUGUUGACAGUGUUAAAGCUAUUCGACUUCAAUGUGCAGAGAUUCUGGAGGCCCUACUUCAGGUAGCUGAGACAGAUAAUGACAUAAAAACGAGUAGUGAGGCUAAAGGUUUGGCAAAUAAUGAACUUGGAGAGUAUGAAUUUAUAGUGGCAAUAGUCAUUUGGUAUGAGGUAUUGUAUGCUGUUAAUUUAGUAAGCAAACACUUGCAAGCAAAGGAUAUGCUUAUUGAUGUUGCUAUUGAGAAAGUGCAAGGACUGAUUACUUUCUUCAAGGGGUAUCGGGAUACUGGUUUUUUA